rnacentral:rRNA from 1 species
AAAGAUUAAGCCAUGCAUGUCUAAGUAUAAGCAACUAUACAGUGAAACUGCGAAUGGCUCAUUAAAUCAGUUAUCGUUUAUUUGAUAGUACCUUACUACUUGGAUAACCGUGGUAAUUCUAGAGCUAAUACAUGCUAAAAAUCCCGACCUCCGGAAGGGAUGUAUUUAUUAGAUAAAAAACCAAUGCCUUCGGGCUCCUUGGUGAUUCAUGAUAACUUAACGAAUCGCAUGGCCUUGCGCUGGCGAUGGUUCAUUCAAAUUUCUGCCCUAUCAACUUUCGAUGGUAGGAUAGUGGCCUACCAUGGUUUCUACGGGUAACGGGGAAUUAGGGUUCGAUUCCGGAGAGGGAGCCUGAGAAACGGCUACCACAUCCAAGGAAGGCAGCAGGCGCGCAAAUUACCCAAUCCCGAUUCGGGGAGGUAGUGACAAUAAAUACUGAUACAGGGCUCUUUUGGGUCUUGUAAUUGGAAUGAGUACAAUUUAAAUCCCUUAACGAGGAACAAUUGGAGG